rnacentral:rRNA from 1 species
AACAAACGCUGGCGGCGUGCCUAAUACAUGCAAGUCGAACGGGGAAAGCUUUCGGGUGAGUACUAGUGGCGCACGGGUGAGGAACGCGUGGAUAAUCUGCCUUAGAGUGGGGGAUAACUAGUCGAAAGAUUAGCUAAUACCGCAUAAGACCACAAGAACUGCGGUUCAAGGGGUCAAAGGUUUUUCGCUCUAAGAUGAGUCCGCGUAAGAUUAGCUAGUUGGUGAGGUAACGGCUCACCAAGGCGACGAUCUUUAACUGGUCUGAGAGGAUGAUCAGUCACACUGGAACUGAGACACGGUCCAGACUCCUACGGGAGGCAGCAGUAGGGAAUAUUGCACAAUGGAGGAAACUCUGAUGCAGCGACGCCGCGUGAGUGAUGAAGGCCUUCGGGUCGUAAAGCUCUGUCGCAGGGGAAUAACACAAUGAAGGUACCCUGUAAGAAAGGAUCGGCUAACUUCGUGCCAGCCGCCGCGGUAAUAC